rnacentral:rRNA from 1 species
CAGGCUUAACACAUGCAAGUCGAGGGGCAGCAUGGUCUUAGCUUGCUAAGGCCGAUGGCGACCGGCGCACGGGUGAGUAACACGUAUCCAACCUGCCGUCUACUCUUGGACAGCCUUCUGAAAGGAAGAUUAAUACAAGAUGGCAUCAUGAGUCCGCAUGUUCACAUGAUUAAAGGUAUUCCGGUAGACGAUGGGGAUGCGUUCCAUUAGAUAGUAGGCGGGGUAACGGCCCACCUAGUCUUCGAUGGAUAGGGGUUCUGAGAGGAAGGUCCCCCACAUUGGAACUGAGACACGGUCCAAACUCCUACGGGAGGCAGCAGUGAGGAAUAUUGGUCAAUGGGCGAGAGCCUGAACCAGCCAAGUAGCGUGAAGGAUGACUGCCCUAUGGGUUGUAAACUUCUUUUAUAAAGGAAUAAAGUCGGGUAUGGAUACCCGUUUGCAUGUACUUUAUGAAUAAGGAUCGGCUAACUCCGUGCCAGCAGCCGCGGUAAUACGGAGGAUCCGAGCGUUAUCCGGAUUUAUUGGGUUUAAAGGGAGCGUAGAUGGAUGUUUAAGUCAGUUGUGAAAGUUUGCGGCUCAACCGUAAAAUUGCAGUUGAUACUGGAUAUCUUGAGUGCAGUUGAGGCAGGCGGAAUUCGUGGUGUAGCGGUGAAAUGCUUAGAUAUCACGAAGAACUCCGAUCGCGAAGGCAGCCUGCUAAGCUGCAACUGACAUUGAGGCUCGAAAGUGUGGGUAUCAAACAGGAUUAGAUACCCUGGUAGUCCACACGGUAAACGAUGAAUACUCGCUGUUUGCGAUAUACUGCAAGCGGCCAAGCGAAAGCGUUAAGUAUUCCACCUGGGGAGUACGCCGGCAACGGUGAAACUCAAAGGAAUUGACGGGGGCCCGCACAAGCGGAGGAACAUGUGGUUUAAUUCGAUGAUACGCGAGGAACCUUACCCGGGCUUAAAUUGCAGAUGAAUUACGGUGAAAGCCGUAAGCCGCAAGGCAUCUGUGAAGGUGCUGCAUGGUUGUCGUCAGCUCGUGCCGUGAGGUGUCGGCUUAAGUGUCAUAACGAGCGCAACCCUUGUUGUCAGUUACUAACAGGUUCCGCUGAGGACUCUGACAAGACUGCCAUCGUAAGAUGUGAGGAAGGUGGGGAUGACGUCAAAUCAGCACGGCCCUUACGUCCGGGGCUACACACGUGUUACAAUGGGGGGUACAGAGGGCCGCUACCACGCGAGUGGAUGCCAAUCCCCAAAACCUCUCUCAGUUCGGACUGGAGUCUGCAACCCGACUCCACGAAGCUGGAUUCGCUAGUAAUCGCGCAUCAGCCACGGCGCGGUGAAUACGUUCCCGGGCCUUGUACACACCGCCCGUCAAGCCAUGGGAGCCGGGGGUACCUGAAGUGCGUAACCGCGAGGAGCGCCCUAGGGUAAAACUGGUGACUGGGGCUAAGUCAUAACA